rnacentral:rRNA from 1 species
GCGGCGUACGGGUGCGGAACACGUGUGCAACCUUGCCUUUAUCUGGGGGAUAGCCUUUCGAAAGUGAAGAUUAAUACCCCAUAAUAUGUUGAAUUGGCAUCAUUCGACAUUGAAAACUCCUGGUGGAUAGGGAUGGGCACGCGCAAGAUUAGAUAGUUUGGUGAGUGUAACUGGUUCACCAAGUCUACCGAUCUCUUAGUGGGGCCUGAGAGUGGUGAUCCCCCAAAUUGGUACUUGAGAAACUGGACCAAGACUCCUAACUGGGGAUGUGCAGGCAAGUGAGGAAAUAUUUGGACAAUUGGGUUGAGAAGCCUGAUCCAGGCAUUCACACAUGCUGUUGAACUGUGACGAAUUUGCCCUAAUGGGGUCUUGUAAAAAUUCCCUUUUUGUAUAAGGGAUAAAACGCCUUACCCACAUACGUUGGAAGUGGGUCACGCUUGAAGUGUAACUAUCACUGGACAUUUACAGGCCACCUGGGCGUCAAAACUUCCUGUUGCCCACAAGCAAGAGCCUGAGUGGUAAAAUUAACUGGGGUGGGUUUGAAACAAAGCAUGUUNUAAAUACACCUGGGGAAUUUAUAAAUUUGGGGUAUAAACAAAU